GAUGAACGCUGGCGGCGUGCCUAAUACAUGCAAGUAGAACGCUGAAGGAGGAGCUUGCUCUUCUGGAUGAGUUGCGAACGGGUGAGUAACGCGUAGGUAACCUGCCUGGUAGCGGGGGAUAACUAUUGGAAACGAUAGCUAAUACCGCAUGACAACAGUUAUUGCAUGAUAACUGUUUAAAAGGGGCAACUGCUCCACUACCAGAUGGACCUGCGUUGUAUUAGCUAGUUGGUGAGGUAACGGCUCACCAAGGCGACGAUACAUAGCCGACCUGAGAGGGAGAUCGGCCACACUGGGACUGAGACACGGCCCAGACUCCUACGGGAGGCAGCAGUAGGGAAUCUUCGGCAAUGGACGGAAGUCUGACCGAGCAACGCCGCGUGAGUGAAGAAGGUUUUCGGAUCGUAAAGCUCUGUUGUAAGAGAAGAACGAGUGUGAGAGUGGAAAGUUCACACUGUGACGGUAGCUUACCAGAAAGGGACGGCUAACUACGUG
rnacentral:rRNA from 1 species